rnacentral:lncRNA from 1 species
GACGAGACUGAACAGGGAAAAACACCGAAGGAUGAAAGCAAACAAGAAGGACGUGGUGAAGGUGGGUGUUCACACAGUGGGCCAAAUGGAGGAGCAAGCUUCAGGGAGAAGACACCCAAAGGACUAUUGUUACUUCCUGUCGCCGUAAACAUCCUCAUCCACGCUACCAUUUAUUUCCUGUCACCGUAAACAUCCUCAUCCACGCUACCAUUUAUUUCCUGUCGCCGUAAACAUCCUCAUCCACGCUACCAUUUAUUUCCUGUCACCGUAAACAUCCUCAUCCAUGCUACCAUUUAUUUCCUGUCACCGUAAACAUCCUCAUCCAUGCUACCAUCUAUUGGGUACCUAGAGAUGCCAAUGCUGUACCAGCAUUUUACAUGGCUUAACCCAAAUCCUCACAACAACCUAGCAAGAUAAAUAUGACUUUCAUUUUGCACAGAAGAGCAAGGCUUGGUGAGGUGAAGUUGCUGCCAAGCACGCACCAGAGCCAGGUCACCAGCACCCACAGCCCUGCCCCUGCACUGGCCAAGGCCAUGCGUCUCCAGGUCCGCAGCUGGGGGUCUGUCCCCAGAAGAGGUCUGGGAAGCAGCAGCCUGUUCUCAGAACCAGAAUUAGACAAGGGAGCCAAGAGAAACCACAGCAGUGAGAAGAGUGGCACGGACAGAGCCCCGGGCUGGACUCGGAGAAGAGGGGCUGGGAGGGAGGGGAGGGGAGGGGAGGGGAGGGCUCAAGAGGGCAGAUCACAGAGGCCAGAGCAGCAGCGUGGGUGAAAGUCGGGCCCCCAGGCUGAGUCAGCAGGGUGGUGGGGUGGCUAGCACAGACCGCAGGGAAGCUGAGCGGACGGAUGAGAGCUGUAGGGGCUAGAGCAAGAAAAUCAGUUUCAGCAGUUUUUGUUUUUGUGUUGUUUCUGUUUUUUAGAGAGAUUUCAAGAUGUUUAGAAGCUGAAGAGAAAUAUCCAAUAGAACAGAACAGAGGUUGGCAAACUUUUCCUGUGAAGGGUCAAAUAGUAAAUAUUUCAGGUUUUGGGCCACAUGGUCCCCACUGCAACUCAACUCUGUCAUGUAGGACAAAGGCAGCUACAGACGACACAUAAGCAAAUGAGCACAGCUCCAUUCCAAUAAAACUUUAUUUAUAGAAACAAGAGGCAGGGGAUGUUUGCACACACGUUUGUAGCAGCAUCACGAACAACAUAAAGAUGGAAGCAAAAGGUAGAAGCAACACAAAUGUCCACUGACAGAUGAAUAAGUACAGCAUAUCCAGAAAACGCAAUCAAAUUCAGCCUUGAAAAGGAAGAUGCUGGCACAGGCCACAACAUGGAUGGACCUUGAGGACUUUAUGCAAAGUGAAAUAAGCCAGUCACCAAAAGGCAAAUGCUGUACGAUUCCACGUAUAGGAGGUCCCUAGAGUAGUCAGAUUCAUAGAGAAAAUAGCAGAAUGGCAGCUGCCAGGGCCUGAGGAAGGGGAAGAGGGACCUAAGGCCACAGUCUGCCGACCCUGGAGUAGACGGAGAUGAAGAUGACAAGACAGAAGCCAGGGCCCUGAGGAUGGGAUUGAGAAUAAGAACUCAGAAACCCUUUCAUCCAGGGAGAUGGGGAGAGGACGCAGGAGGGAGGAAGGAGCUCCUGAGAGGAGGCCUGCAGCCCCGCAGGCCCAGGAGCAGUACACCGCUCACAGCCAGAAAGGAGAGGCCAGGAGGCAGGGCAGAGCCCUGGCAGGGCAGGCGCUCAGGGAGAGGGUGGGAGCCACAGCUCUGGGAGGCAGGGCCAAGGUGGCCAAGCAGCACUGAGCUCUCGCCCAGGUUGGAUCCCCCCUGCACCCUCCCCAAGCUUCACGGCCUGGGUACAGGAAGGGGUGACAAGCCAUGCAGCAGGCAUCAUGGGUCAGUGGACAGGGGACAGGCAGUUCCCUCCAGCACGGAGGGCACGACAACCACUGCAGGGCAGGCAGAGCCCACCAGCGCCCACCAGGCUCUAGGGCAACCAAACUAGAUCUGAAGGGAAACUCCACGGCCCUUCUUAGACCAACCCCCUUCGAUAUUUCACGCUGUUUGGUGGCUCUGAAGAUGCAUGGAGGUUCUAGCGGGGAAGAGCCCAUUUUCACUUCCUCCAUACUCUGCACACAGGGCAUCCAGGCCCAGAAGAGCUCAACGCUGCCUGGCAUGGAGAGGUUGGCGCAGGCUGAGGCUGCUGGGCUCUGAGGACUCAGGGUGUGCAGCCUGGAACCUGCACCUCCUAAUGAAAUAUGGCCUAAGCAGACACCAGGAUCCAGAGCCCAGCCACUCCUCUCCCCAAUGCUGAGGCCCUCCCGAGAGCCCAAGGCACGGCAUGGAGCUCGUGCGUGACUGCGAGCAAAUGCCCUGGCCUCAGGCCACCAGGUCAGGUGCAGCAGGUCUGUGAGGGACCCCGUGUGCCUCUCCUGUGGGGGCAGCAUCAGCUUCCCUCCUAGAGAACCACAUGGAGCAGAUAUGGGCGGUGCAGCAGAGCACUGCAGCAGAGGGCCAGGAGGGUCCAAGCAGUGCUGUGAUCAUCCGACUCUCUAACCAUGAACUCACCUAGAGAUGCAUUCCAACCACACCUCUCUAAAAUACAUGUAGGUGUUAGUGGAAAACACCUGCUAUCUAUUUCUGACUUAAUAAAGUCUAUUUCAUACACAUAGACACAUUUGGUUUACAGGCAGAUGAGACAGUGAUCGGGCACGUCAGCAGACAGUCUCCACUCAGGCCCUACAAAUGAACCACAAUCUUCCUUUCCGUUUUGCUUUCCUCUCUAAAGUCCCCCGAGAGGAGGCCCUGCCCAGGCCGGCCCCCGACUCACAGGCUCCCCAGACUGCAGAGAUGCAAACUCAGCCACACACCCAAGGACGCCGCUUCUCCCCACAGCAGAGCAGAGGCUCAGCUGGCCCACUCCAGUGACAUGGAGUCUGGCUGGUCAGCGACAGCCCCUCCAGCCAAGGGCUCCACCUUCAGCACGAAUCCUCUGCCUCGGGACUUUCUCUAGUGCUUGAUUUCUUGUAUGGUCAGCCCCGCGGUAUUUUAUUGAAAUAGAUAUUAUUCCUGUCAUCAAAAUAAAUAAACCUAACUAAAAA